GCCCCCGUCGGCUAGUUUGGAUAGGCUACAAGGCUGCGGACCUUGAGACUGGGGUUCAAAUCCCCACGGGGGCG
rfam:Euryarchaeota archaeon RBG_19FT_COMBO_69_17 rbg_19ft_combo_scaffold_95, whole genome shotgun sequence.